rnacentral:rRNA from 1 species
UACGUAGGGUGCAAGCGUUGUCCGGAAUUAUUGGGCGUAAAGAGCUCGUAGGCGGUCUGUCGCGUCUGCUGUGAAAACUCAGGGCUUAACCCUGAGCUUGCAGUGGGUACGGGCAGACUAGAGUGCGGUAGGGGAGACUGGAAUUCCUGGUGUAGCGGUGAAAUGCGCAGAUAUCAGGAGGAACACCGAUGGCGAAGGCAGAUCUCUGGGCCGUAACUGACGCUGGGAG